rnacentral:rRNA from 1 species
AUUGAACGCUGGCGGCAGGCCUAACACAUGCAAGUCGAGCGGAUGAAGGGAGCUUGCUCCUGGAUUCAGCGGCGGACGGGUGAGUAAUGCCUAGGAAUCUGCCUGGUAGUGGGGGAUAACGUCCUGAAACGGGCGCUAAUACCGCAUACGUCCUGAUGGAGAAAGAGGGGGAUCUUCGGACCUCACGCUAUCAGAUGAGCCUAGGUCGGAUUAGCUAGUUGGUGGGGUAAAGGCCUACCAAGGCGACGAUCCGUAACUGGUCUGAGAGGAUGAUCAGUCACACUGGAACUGAGACACGGUCCAGACUCCUACGGGAGGCAGCAGUGGGGAAUAUUAGACAAUGGGCGAAAGCCUGAUCCAGCCAUGCCGCGUGUGUGAAGAAGGUCUUCGGAUUGUAAAGCACUUUAAGUUGGGGGGAAGGGCAGUAAGUUAAUACCUUGCGGUUUUGACGUUACCAACAGAAUAAGCACCGGCUAACUUCGUG